GACGAACGCUGGCGGCGUGCUUAACACAUGCAAGUCGAACGGUGAAGCGCCUUCCUUUUUGGUGGGUGUGGAUGAGUGGCGAACGGGUGAGUAACACGUGAGUAACCUGCCCCCUUCUUCUGGAUAACCGCAUGAAAGUGUGGCUAAUACGGGAUAUUCUGGGUCUGUCGCAUGAUGGGUCUGGGAAAGAUAUUGUUUCGGUGGGGGAUGGGCUCGCGGCCUAUCAGCUUGUUGGUGGGGUGAUGGCCUACCAAGGCGGUGACGGGUAGCCGGCCUGAGAGGGUGGACGGUCACACUGGGACUGAGACACGGCCCAGACUCCUACGGGAGGCAGCAGGGGGGAAUAUUGCACAAUGGGAGGAAGCCUGAUGCAGCGACGCCGCGUGAGGGAUGGAGGCCUUCGGGUUGUGAACCUCUUUCGCCAGUGAAGCAGGCCUGCCUCGUUUGUGGGUGGGUUGACGGUAGCUGGAUAAGAAGCGCCGGCUAACUACGUG
rnacentral:rRNA from 1 species